rnacentral:rRNA from 1 species
AGAGUUUGAUCAUGGCUCAGAUUGAACGCUGGCGGCAGGCCUAACACAUGCAAGUCGAACGGAAACAUGUCUAGCUUGCUAGAUGAUGUCGAGUGGCGGACGGGUGAGUAAUACUUAGGAACAUGCCUUUGGGAGGGGGAUAACUAUUGGAAACGAUAGCUAAUACCGCAUGAAGUCUACGGACCAAAGGGGGGAGCUUGCUCCUCUCGCCCAAAGAGUGGCCUAAGCGAGAUUAGCUUGUUGGUGAGGUAAAGGCUCACCAAGGCGACGAUCUCUAGCUGUUCUGAGAGGAAGAUCAGCCACACUGGGACUGAGACACGGCCCAGACUCCUACGGGAGGCAGCAGUGGGGAAUAUUGCACAAUGGGGGCAACCCUGAUGCAGCCAUGCCGCGUGUGUGAAGAAGGCCUUCGGGUUGUAAAGCACUUUCAGUUGUGAGGAAAGGGAGUUGGUUAAUACCCAAUUUCUGUGACGUUAGCAACAGAAGAAG